AUGGGGGGACCAUCCUCCAAGGCUAAAUACUCAUCAUCGACCGAUAGUGAACCAGUACCGUGAGGGAAAGGCGAAAAGAACCCCGGGAGGGGAGUGAAAUAGAACCUGAAACCUGAUGCAUACAAACAGUGGGAGCACCCUUGUGGUGUGACUGCGUACCUUUUGUAUAAUGGGUCAACGACUUACAUUCAGUAGCGAGCUUAACCGGAUAGGGGAGGCGUAGGGAAACCGAGUCUUAAUAGGGCGAAGAGUUGCUGGGUGUAGACCCGAAACCGAGUGAUCUAUCCAUGGCCAGGUUGAAGGUGCCGUAACAGGUACUGGAGGACCGAACCCACGCAUGUUGCAAAAUGCGGGGAUGAGCUGUGGAUAGGGGUGAAAGGCUAAACAAACUCGGAGAUAGCUGGUUCUCCCCGAAAACUAUUUAGGUAGUGCCUCGAGCAAGACACUGAUGGGGGUAAAGCACUGUUAUGGCUAGGGGGUUAUUGCAACUUACCAACCCAUGGCAAACUCAGAAUACCAUCAAGUGGUUCCUCGGGAGACAGACAGCGGGUGCUAACGUCCGUUGUCAAGAGGGAAACAACCCAGACCGCCAGCUAAGGUCCCAAAUGAUAGAUUAAGUGGUAAACGAAGUGGGAAGGCCCAGACAGCCAGGAUGUUGGCUUAGAAGCAGCCAUCAUUUAAAGAAAGCGUAAUAGCUCACUGGUCGAGUCGUCCUGCGCGGAAGAUGUAACGGGGCUCAAAUCUAUAACCGAAGCUGCGGAUGCCAGUUUACUGGCAUGGUAGGGGAGCGUUCUGUAGGCUGAUGAAGGUGCAUUGUAAAGUGUGCUGGAGGUAUCAGAAGUGCGAAUGUUGACAUGAGUAGCGAUAAAGCGGGUGAAAAGCCCGCUCGCCGAAAGCCCAAGGUUUCCUACGCAACGUUCAUCGGCGUAGGGUGAGUCGGCCCCUAAGGCGAGGCAGAAAUGCGUAGUCGAUGGGAAACAGGUUAAUAUUCCUGUACUUGAUUCAAAUGUGAUGUGGGGACGGAGAAGGUUAGGUUAGCAAGCUGUUGGAAUAGCUUGUUUAAGCCGGUAGGUGGAAGACUUAGGCAAAUCCGGGUCUUCUUAACACCGAGAAGUGAUGACGAGUGUCUACGGACAUGAAGUAACUGAUACCACGCUUCCAGGAAAAGCCACUAAGCUUCAGUUUGAGUCGAACCGUACCGCAAACCGACACAGGUGGGCAGGAUGAGAAUUCUAAGGCGCUUGAGAGAACUCGGGAGAAGGAACUCGGCAAAUUGAUACCGUAACUUCGGGAGAAGGUAUGCCCUCUAAGGUUAAGGACUUGCUCCGUAAGCCCUGGAGGGUCGCAGAGAAUAGGUGGCUGCGACUGUUUAUUAAAAACACAGCACUCUGCUAACACGAAAGUGGACGUAUAGGGUGUGACGCCUGCCCGGUGCUGGAAGGUUAAUUGAAGAUGUGAGAGCAUCGGAUCGAAGCCCCAGUAAACGGCGGCCGUAACUAUAACGGUCCUAAGGUAGCGAAAUUCCUUGUCGGGUAAG
rnacentral:rRNA from 1 species